GAUGAACGCUGGCGGCGUGCCUAAUACAUGCAAGUCGAGCGAACGGACGAGAAGCUUGCUUCUCUGAUGUUAUCGGCGGACGGGAGAGUAACACGUGGAUAACCUACCUAUAAGACUGGGAUAACUUCGGGAAACCGUAGCUAAUACCGGAUAAUAUUUUGAACCGCAUGGUUCAAACGUUAAAGACGGUCUUGCUGUCACUUAUAGAUGGAUCCGCCCUGCAUUAGCUAGUUGGUAAGGUAACUGCUUAGCAAGGCAACGAUGCAUAGCCGACCUGAGAGGGUGAUCGGACACACGGGAACUGAGACACGGUCCAGACUCCGACGGGAGGAAGCAGUAGGGAAUCUUCCGCAAUGGGCGAGAGCCUGACGGAGCAACGCCGCGUGAGUGAUGAAGGUCUUCGGAUCGUAAAACGCUGUUAUUAGGGAAGAACAUAUGUGUAAGUAACUGUGCACAUCUUGACGGUACCUAAUCAGAAAGCCACGGCUAACUACGUG
rnacentral:rRNA from 1 species